UAACCUGCCCAAGAGAUCGGGAUAACACCUGGAAACAGAUGCUAAUACCGGAUAANAACAGAUGAUGCCUAUCAACUGUUUAAAAGAUGGUUCUGCUAUCACUCUUGGAUGGACCUGCGGUGCAUUAGCUAGUUGGUAGGGUAACGGCCUACCAAGGCGAUGAUGCAUAGCCGAGUUGAGAGACUGAUCGGCCACAUUGGGACUGAGACACGGCCCAAACUCCUACGGGAGGCAGCAGAU
rnacentral:rRNA from 1 species